rnacentral:rRNA from 1 species
UACGUAGGGGGCAAGCGUUGUCCGGAUUUAUUGGGCGUAAAGAGCGUGUAGGCGGCCAUACAGGUCAGCUGUGAAAACUCGAGGCUCAACCUCGAGACGUCGGUUGAAACCGUAUGGCUAGAGUCCGGAAGAGGAGAGUGGAAUUCCUGGUGUAGCGGUGAAAUGCGCAGAUAUCAGGAGGAACACCGGUGGCGAAGGCGGGUCUCUGGGCCGAUAUUGACGCUGAGGAGCGAAAGCGUGGGGAGCAAACAGG